GGGGCUGUAGCUCAGAUGGGAGAGCGCCUCGUUCGCAAAUGAGGAGGUCAGGGGUUCGAUUCCCCUCAGCUCCACCA
rnacentral:tRNA from 1 species